UUAUAACAUACCUUUAUUUUCUUUCAGAAUCGACAUUACAUUUAGUUUUGCGACUACGUGGUGGCGUAAUUGAACCCAGUCUUCGUAUCUUGGCUCAAAAAUACAAUUGUGAUAAAAUGAUAUGUCGCAAGUGUUACGCCCGUCUGCAUCCCAAAGCCACUAACUGUCGCAAGAGGAAAUGCGGACAUUCGAACAACUUGCGCCCUAAGAAGAAGAUCAAGUAGUUCGUUCAUAAUUUGAAAUGAAAAUGUAAUUUCUUGAAUUCAAUAAAUUGAAUCUGAAUUUAACUUGCAUUA